GAUGAACGCUGACAGAAUGCUUAACACAUGCAAGUCUACUUGAUCCUUCGGGUGAUGGUGGCGGACGGGUGAGUAACGCGUAAAGAACUUGCCUUGCAGUCUGGGACAACGUCUGGAAACGGACGCUAAUACCGGAUAUUAUGAUUGAAUCGCAUGAUUUAAUUAUGAAAGCUAUAUGCGCUGCGAGAGAGCUUUGCGUCCCAUUAGUUAGUUGGUGAGGUAACGGCUCACCAAGACGAUGAUGGGUAGCCGGCCUGAGAGGGUGAACGGCCACAAGGGGACUGAGACACGGCCCUUACUCCUACGGGAGGCAGCAGUGGGGAAUAUUGGACAAUGGACCAAAAGUCUGAUCCAGCAAUUCUGUGUGCACGAUGAAGUUUUUCGGAAUGUAAAGUGCUUUCAGUUGGGAAGAAGAAAGUGACGGUACCAACAGAAGAAGCGACGGCUAAAUACGUGCCAGCAGCCGCGGUAAUACGUAUGUCGCAAGCGUUAUCCGGAUUUAUUGGGCGUAAAGCGCGUCUAGGCGGUUUGGUAAGUCUGAUGUGAAAAUGCGGGGCUCAACUCCGUAUUGCGUUGGAAACUGCCAAACUAGAGUACUGGAGAGGUAGGCGGAACUACAAGUGUAGAGGUGAAAUUCGUAGAUAUUUGUAGGAAUGCCGAUGGGGAAGCCAGCCUACUGGACAGAUACUGACGCUAAAGCGCGAAAGCGUGGGUAGCAAACAGG
rnacentral:rRNA from 1 species